AGGCNUGCUUUUAUUAGGAANAAGACCAGNCGGUCUNGGCCGGNNACACUGGUNAACUCUGGAUAACACAGCCGAUCGCACGGUCUUUGCACCGGCGACGGAUCCUUAGAAUGUCUGCCCUAUCAACUUUCGAUGGUACGUUAUGCGCCUACCAUGGUCGUCACGGGUAACGGAGAAUMAGBNUUCGAUUCCGGAGAGGGAGCCUGAGAAACGGCURCCACAUCCAAGGAAGGCAGCAGGCGNGCAAAUUACCCACUCCGACACGGGGAGGUAGUGACNAAAAAUAACAAUACAGGACUCUUUCGAGGCCCUGUNAUUGGAAUGAGUACACUUUAAAUCCUUUAANGAGGAUNC
rnacentral:rRNA from 1 species